rnacentral:rRNA from 1 species
CCUACGGGCGGCAGCAGUGAGGAAUAUUGGUCAAUGGCCGGAAGGCUGAACCAGCCAAGCCGCGUGAAGGACGAAGGUGCCAAGCAUUGUAAACUUCUUUUGUCAAGGGACAAAAUCAGGCUCGAGAGCCUGACCGAGGGUACUUGAAGAAAAAGCAUCGGCUAACUCCGUGCCAGCAGCCGCGGUAAUACGGAGGAUGCGAGCGUUAUCCGGAUUUAUUGGGUUUAAAGGGUGCGUAGGCGGACUGUUAAGUCAGCGGUAAAAGCCCGGGGCUCAACCCCGGCGAGCCGUUGAAACUGGGUGGCUUGAGAAGGCUAGAGGUAGGCGGAAUGCGCGGUGUAGCGGUGAAAUGCUUAGAUAUUACGCAGAACCCCGAUUGCGAAGGCAGCAUGCCGGGGGCGGACUGACGCUGAGGCACGAAAGCGUGGGUAUCGAACAGGAUUAGAUACCCCAGUAGUC